GACGAACGCUGGCGGCGUGCUUAACACAUGCAAGUCGAGCGGUAAGGCCCUUUCGGGGGUACACGAGCGGCGAACGGGUGAGUAACACGUGGGUGACCUGCCCUCAGCUCUGGGAUAAGCCUGGGAAACCGGGUCUAAUACCGGAUAUGACUCCAUGACGCAUGUUGUGGGGUGGAAAGCCUUGUGCGGCUGAGGAUGGGCCCGCGGCCUAUCAGCUUGUUGGUGGGGUGAUGGCCUACCAAGGCGACGACGGGUAGCCGGCCUGAGAGGGCGACCGGCCACACUGGGACUGAGACACGGCCCAGACUCCUACGGGAGGCAGCAGUGGGGAAUCUUGCGCAAUGGGCGAAAGCCUGACGCAGCGACGCCGCGUGGGGAUGAAGCUUCUCGGAGUGUAAACCCCUUUCGACCCGGACGAAUAGCCCGCAAGGGACUUGACGGUACGGGUAGAA
rnacentral:rRNA from 1 species